rnacentral:rRNA from 1 species
CUACGGGCCGCAGCAGUGAGGAGUAUUGCACAAUGGGGGGAACCCUGAUGCAGCAACGCCGCGUGGAGGAUGACGCAUUUCGGUGUGUAAACUCCUUUUAUAUGUCAAGAAAAUGACGGUAGCAUAUGAAUAAGCACCGGCUAACUCCGUGCCAGCAGCCGCGGUAAUACGGAGGGUGUAAGCGUUACUCGGAAUCACUGGGCGUAAAGGACGCGUAGGCGGGUUGGAAAGUCAGGUGUGAAAUCCUACAGCUUAACUGUAGAACUGCACUUGAAACUUCUAAUCUAGAGUAUGGGAGGGGGAGAUGGAAUUAGUGGUGUAGGGGUAAAAUCCGUAGAUAUCACUAGGAAUACCUAAAGCGAAGGCGAUCUCCUGGAACAUUACUGACGCUAAGGCGUGAAAGCGUGGGGAGCAAACAGGAUUAGAUACCCCCGUAGUC